rnacentral:snRNA from 1 species
GUGCUCGCUUCAGCAGCACACAUACAAACAUUGGACGAUACAGAGAAGAUUAGCAUGGCUUCUACCUAAGAAUGAUAUGCAUGUUCUGGAAGUGUUCCAUAUUUUU